rnacentral:rRNA from 1 species
CGAACUUCCGUUAAUUGAUUAUGACGUACUUGUACUGAUUGAGAUUUUAACACGAAGUGAGUGGCGAACGGGUGAGUAACACGUGGGUAACCUGCCCAGAAGUAGGGGAUAACACCUGGAAACAGAUGCUAAUACCGUAUAACAGAGAAAACCGCAUGGUUUUCUUUUAAAAGAUGGCUCUGCUAUCACUUCUGGAUGGACCCGCGGCGUAUUAGCUAGUUGGUGAGGUAAAGGCUCACCAAGGCAGUGAUACGUAGCCGACCUGAGAGGGUAAUCGGCCACAUUGGGACUGAGACACGGCCCAGACUCCUACGGGAGGCAGCAGUAGGGAAUCUUCCACAAUGGACGCAAGUCUGAUGGAGCAACGCCGCGUGAGUGAAGAAGGGUUUCGGCUCGUAAAGCUCUGUUGUUAAAGAAGAACGUGGGUAAGAGUAACUGUUUACCCAGUGACGGUAUUUAACCAGAAAGCCACGGCUAACUACGUGCCAGCAGCCGCGGUAAUACGUAGGUGGCAAGCGUUAUCCGGAUUUAUUGGGCGUAAAGCGAGCGCAGGCGGUCUUUUAAGUCUAAUGUGAAAGCCUUCGGCUCAACCGAAGAAGUGCAUUGGAAACUGGGAGACUUGAGUGCAGAAGAGGACAGUGGAACUCCAUGUGUAGCGGUGAAAUGCGUAGAUAUAUGGAAGAACACCAGUGGCGAAGGCGGCUGUCUGGUCUGCAACUGACGCUGAG